rnacentral:rRNA from 1 species
GUGAGGAAUUUUCCGCAAUGGGCGAAAGCCUGACGGAGCAAUGCCGCGUGAAGGAUGAAGGCCUAUGGGUUGUAAACUUCUUUUCUCAGAAAAGAAUUAUGACGGUAUCUGAGGAAUAAGCAUCGGCUAACUCUGUGCCAGCAGCCGCGGUAAGACAGAGGAUGCAAGCGUUAUCCGGAAUGAUUGGGCGUAAAGCGUCUGUAGGUUGUUUAAAAAGUAUUCUGUCAAAGAUUAGGGCUUAACCCUAGAUAGGCAGAAUAAACUUUUAAGCUAGAGUUUGGUAGAGGCAGAGGGAAUUCCCGGUGGAGCGGUGAAAUGCGUAGAUAUCGUGAGGAACACCAAAGGCGAAGGCACUCUGCUGGGCCAAUACUAACACUGAGAGACGAAAGCGAGGGGAGCAAAUGGGAUUAGAUACCCGAGUAGUCC